CUGCGUGCCAGUGCUGACGGACAUCACCAGCUAAGAUGUCUGCUUUGUGGCAUUGUGCUCAUUGUCUGCACAGACGCUCAGCUGCUGCAUUCCCUGUGCUCCAGUCAGCCCCUCUGAGGGCAAGGCUGACUGCAGUAAGCAAGAGCUGUUAAUAAGGGCUAUUGGAUCAAGCCUUCUCUGCAGAAGAAGAGAUUUUAUGGGAUAGAAACUGCAGGGCCACACAGGCAGUGAGAGAACAGCCUGCCCAAAACAGUUUGCAGAGAGAUGCCAACCUGUGCAAUUGAUUUCUUUUUGCUCAUUUGAGUCAUGAGACAGACUAACGCUUCCAUGCCAUCUUGCACAGAAAACACUUCCUCCUGUACAUGCUGGUCCAAGAACUGCAGGCUGGGCAGUAAUCUCUGUGGAAACAAAUCUCAGACCUUUCCAUCUCUCUCUCCUGUUAUGUAACAAGAUAAGUUUGCAGUUCUCAUUACAUGCAGCCAAGUUCCAGCAAACAGUUUGAGUCUCCUGUCCACAGACGGACAAUGGGGAAUCUGGGAGAAAUGCAAAAAUGUCCACUCUAAUGGUAUGGAUCAAAGUCUUUUCUAUGACUGACUUCUAAGCAUCAUUUUUGCUCUUUCAUCUGCAGCCUUCUCCAGGAUGAGGGAGGAUUUAUGCCUGGCACUUCCACAAAGUUUAACAAGAUGCCAGGUGGCAGCUGUCAAAGGCAGACUCAAUUGCUCUUUCUGCUCUUUGGGAAUGGGUUUGCUCUCUUGCUACUCUUCUGGAGAUUCAACCUGCCAUUACUUCCCAGGACUUGUUUUUAAGCUGGUACACCCUGAGGCCUCACCCACCAAGCAGAGGAGUAUUGGAGCUUAAGAAGCUGGAAACACCAAAUGUUACUGAGCAGGACGAGGUGCUUGCAACUCUAGCAAAAGCAGGGUCUUUUUACCCCUUCGUUGCCUCUCUCUGGACCAUGACAAUAACUGUGGAUCUCACUUGUAAAAAGCCUUCUGUAAGCAUGGAUGGAGGCAGGAACAAGUUUUAUUCCUAACCUAGAAACAGUAUUAGUAGAAAUGAAAAUCAUCAGGGCUGCUUCAAAGGUAUGGGGUGUUGAGCUGAAGAAACUAAGCCAAGUAUAACUGAAGCCCAAGACAGAGACAGUCACUACAAAGGAGCCAGAGUGGAGCGACAGAGAGAAAUGUCUGCUCGCACUAUAGCAUCCCCCUGCUGACAUCUUCAAGGAGAGGCUUCCCCUCCCCCUCCCAUCUGACAGCGUGAGCUAUUUCUAAGUAGAUGCCAGCCACAGCCUCCAAGGACUAACAAGGAAGUCUGCAGAAGCAAAACAACCAUAUGUGAUAGCUGAACUGGUUCAGACUGGUUCAGAGUUUGCUUGACUAACUCAAAAGUGCCUUCUCAGACUAGCUUUCUGUGUGGGCUGUAAUAAAGGGAUAGAGGCCUC